CUAUGCCAGAGCCACAGCAACGUGGGAUCCGAGCCACGUCUGCAACCUACCCCACAGCUCACGGCCACGCCGGAUCGUUAACCCACUGAGCAAGGGCAGGGACCGAACCCGCAACCUCAUGGUUCCUAGUCGGAUUUGUUAACCACUGAGGCCAUGACGGGAACUCCUGGCGGGAUUUAUUUUUAUUGUAUAAUACAUAUUAUAUAUAUUUGAAUAAUAUAUAUGUUUGCGUAAUUACAUGAAUUAUUUUAAUUAUAGCGUACUUAAAUAUUUUAAAAUUUCUCUUUCCUGUUUAAGUGUAUGAGUGAGUAUGACAGCCACUCUUCCUCUUUAUUGACUACAUGGUACCCCCCAGCCUCCUAAGAAGUGGAAAAACAAGGAAUAAUCCUCCUCAAGUCAGGUGGAGUGUGAAGAAACCUGAUCAUUCUAAGCAUUCACCAACAUCAUCAUACAAAUGGAAGAAUCAAUCAUUGGAGGUUACAGAGCUUUAAAUACAUUGCCUUGUAGUCUCCUCAUUUUAUGGAUGACGAAAUGGAAGUGUGAGAAAAGGGACUAUGUGUUUGCAAGUUCUUCUAGGGAUUCAGAAAACAUCUUCUCUAGAAAUGUAUCCUUUGGACUCAUGAACCCAUAGGCUCACCAGAUGCUGUCAAGAGUCUGUAAAACCAAACUUUUGACUUUGAGUACAUCUUUUUCUCUCUUGAAAAAAAUACAUGUAAACUUCUAAAUAGAUAAUGAAAAUAAAACUUUUGUUUUCCAUGAAUGUUAUGUACCU
rnacentral:lncRNA from 1 species